rnacentral:lncRNA from 1 species
GGAGGAAAAGGUUCACGGGUGGGCUGCAAUUUCUUUAACCAAAGUAGAUAGCAUGAUUGGUGGGGCAAGAAGAUGGAGUCCACAGAGUGCCUGAGUGACCACAGAAAUGGCCAGCUCAGGGAGGGGAUCAAGUCACGGGUUCUUACUGCUACGUGCAUUUGCAAACAUGAACAAAUCUCUAGACAGCAUCAUCACCACAUGAGGCUUUUGUUUUCUUUGAUUUCGAGGAGAGCUAGCAGUACCACAAGUUUGAAAAAAGUGCCAAAGGUAAAACCACAAGUCUCUUCGGCCCCGCAACCUACAUGGAGAUCUUUGAUCUCUUGUCAAGUUCUCAGCCACGUAAAUGAUUCUUUCUCCUGCCAUGAUCAUUUUGCCCCAUCCAUUAUUUUGCCC